UAUAAUAUAGCAUCUUAGAUUGGUUUGCAAAGAUAGCAAGAAGCUAGAAGUUGUAUUAUUUGUCAAAUUGGCUUGCUUCCAGGGAUUUUGGUGCAUGGAUGUAUCUGAAAUAUAUAUAUAUAUAUAUAUAUUUUUUAGUCUGGACGCAUGCGAUAUGCCAUUUUGUUCUUCUUUUGACUGAAUGUAUGUGUCUCUUUAAAAAUAGGAAAAAUUAUACUUUUCACCGACAAACUACAGUCUAUUUUUCAUCAGUAUCCUAACCUACAUUUUUAAAGGUCAGAUUAUUGUUAGUUUAAGGUGCGAAUAUAAACUUUUUGUAAUUUAGAAAAUUGGUGGUAGUUUGUGGUGAGAACUUUAAUCACUCUUAUAUGUAUUAUCGCCUUUAGCAAAUUUCCUAGUUACUUGCUAAAAGCAUUGGGUCUUUUCAUGGUGGAGUUGAAAGCUUGUUGUGCUUUUUGCUGCUUUACUAAAAAGUUGAAGCAUUUGCUCUGAAUUUGCUCAUAGUCUAACCUAAACCUCAAUUUUUUUAUUUGGAUAUUGGAUAUUUCCCCAUUCCCGUUCUCAAUUGUUAUAAUUGCCCCACAUUUAUCGGUAAACUUGAAUCCAGAGCUUUACUGUUACUAAUGUAUCAGAUAGACUGGCCAGUAGAUUUUCAUCCUGCUGUUGUUCGAAUGCGUUUUAAAAUUGGUGCAGUUUGAUUAAGUAUAUGGACAAGGAAAAUUCUAUACACCACACUACCAUCUCACUUUCAUCCCACUAUGUAAGAUGUGAUACAUUUAUCACUAUUAGAUGAUCCUUUAUUGGAUGAUUUUUUAUUAUUUAACGGUGAUAAAUGUAUCACAUCUUAUAUAGUGAGAUGUGAGUGUGUUGUAUAGUAUUAUUCGACAAGGAAAAUCCAAAUGAAUUCACCUUCUCCUUAAAGAUAGGGAAAUAAUGUAGUGGGUUGCCUUCUUUACAGGAAGCCUUUGGUCUUAAAGGUCAUUGCUGGAAUCGUGUCUUGUGCCACUGCUAGACCCGAGUGCCAGUACCAUCCGCAUAACCCUUAAAUGUCAUCACCAUCCCAACUCUUGGGCAGAUCCCUCGUCCGAUCCAAGCCAGGAUCAAGAACUUAUCCUUUUUCUUCCAUGGCAGGAUCGGCAGUAUUCAUAGAUGCACUACUUCCUAUAAUGGAGGCAAGUUCAAUUUCUUUAUUGGCAUCCCAACUUUUUGAUUAAGUGAGCGUCAUUUAAAAAUAAAAAAGGUGAGUAACCUUUACGACUUUCCCGACUUAUAAUAUAAGUUCGAAUUUUUUUUUUUUUAGCCUACUGGUGUAUUUUAUCUAUAUUGAAUCAUUGAGCCACCAAAGUUGCAGAAAAAGGUAAUUCCGUUUAACCCAUCACUAUGAAUCGGUAAACAGCAAGCUUCCUUACAAUAGGAGAGAUUUUCUGAUGGCUGCCAAACAUUUACCAAAAAACAAACUACUUUCCAAUGGUUUAUUUACAAAUCUAAAUUGAAA